rnacentral:tRNA from 1 species
GGGCCCGUAGCUCAGUCUGAAGUGAACUUCGUUCACAUAUUUCACGAAGCUUGCUUCCUGAAACGGUUGGAGCGUUCGACUGAUAAUCGAAAGGUCCUGCGUUCAAAUCGCGGCGGGCCCA